ensembl:lncRNA Novel transcript, antisense to NRXN1
GCCAUUCUCCUGCCUCAGCCUCCCGAGUAGCUGGGACUGCAGGCGCCCGCCAUCGCGCCCGGCUAAGUGUAGCAGAAAAGACCCACUGUUGGAGAGGGGUUCAUCUGUCACUUGAGGGGCAGCAGCAAUUUAUCAGUUCCUGUGCCAGAUGUUUACAUAAUAUCAAGUCUUCACAACAGUCCUACAGAGGCCCUAUUUCACUCCAGGCAAAACCAAGGCUCAGAGGCUUAGGAACUGCCCAAGAGACAAUCACUGUAUUCUGGAGGGAAAGAAAUGUUUGUAAAGGCCAGCAGACGGCGCCUGACUGGGGCAGAAGCUUGCAGCGGAGAGGAAAAAGGAGUGCCCCACUCUGCGGCAGGGCCCCUUGGUCUUCUCCUCUCCCACGUCCCCAGCAGCCUUAUCCCUCUGGAGAGAGGCCGAGACACAGAAAAGGAGAAGUUGCAUAUGAGAUUAUUAGCCAAGUGCUUCCCACUGGCACAAUUAGGUGUUCCACCUGCUCCAUACACCCAUCUGCCUCACCACACCCACCUACCCACACUCUGCCCUUCCUGCACCCUGGCUUGCCUCCGUCCCUCAGGACUCACACAAUUCUGCACAAAGGCAGGGCAGUGGUUGAGAACUGCACCCAGGUAAAGGGAACAACAAGCUCCUAGAAUACUGUGGGCUUGUGGUGAGAUCACCAGAAACUCCUUAUUCUUUCAGAGAGAUCUAAUCUCUGUUACUUAUAAAAAUAAUCCCUAGCUUGGGACAUCACUCUCGUCUCCAUACUAGACACUCUUAACUGGAGAGAAUUUCUGGGAGAGAACUAGGAGAAGGAGAAAGGAACAAAUUCCUAGAACCCACAGGGAUGUGUUUUUUCUAGUAUGCUCCCAAAGAGGGCUUGCUAGGGGACUUGGUCUCUCUUCAGUUAGAUUAUGCUAUAGUUUUUCAUAUCUAACCAGAAUUGUCCCCAGGUGGGAAACCCCCACCCCACCCUGCAUCCAUGGAAUAAAGGGCCAUCCUGGUAGCACCAGCAGCUGCUCAGGGCAGAGCAAACUCAUAAGGAGUGGGGCAAAGGAUUCUGAGCUGAAACAAGUCUGAAAGGUGACGGGUCCUGCAAGAAAGAGGUGGAAAAUGGAUAUAAAAAAAGUGCCCACAACUUUCACUCUGCUUUCUAAACAAGUGCAUUUUACACCGGGGUAGAAUAAAAAUUGGGAGUGGGGAACGACUCACAAAAA